GUAAAUAAGAGGAGUUCGUGGUAGGGCAGGAGGGCUGGGGGAGCUGCAGCCUGUGGGGCUGUGCUGGAGCAGUGCCUGAAGGGUGGGCCCUGUGGGAUGGAGUUGUGUUGGAGCAGUGUUGGGAGAUCUGCGGCCUGUGGAAAGCCCACAUGGGAUCAGUUUGGGAAUGAUGUAAUCCCGUGGGAGGGAUGGCAGAAGGAUUGAGGAGUGGAAGAGAUGAGGCAUUAUGGGCAGACCACAGCCCCCAUUCCUCAUUGCCCUGAGCUGCUUGAGGAGUAUGGAGUCCUAUAGAUUAUAUUUAAAAAGUUAAAAAGGAUAUUCUUGUCUGUUCUCUGGCCCCAGACAUAUUCAGGUACUGAUGCAAAUUGGACCAGCUUCACCAGAACAGAUGAAAAAAUCCACUCCAGUUCUGGCAUUUAAAACAUUUCUGAAGGAUGCGGUUGAUCUUCACUGCAACUGUGUUCUGGUCCAAACAGAAAGAAGACUUGAGCCCAAGCUUCCUCAGUCAAAACUGUGGCCAUCUUUGUCAUACCAGGGCAUUCCAUUCUUACAUGAUGUAUGUUUAAAUUUCCCUUACAUCAUUAUUCCAAAUUUUCAUGGGUGUUAACUUAGGAGUGCUGAUCUUUGCACCUUAGAGUUUUUAGUUUAUGUAACGUUAUUAUGCAUUUGUACUCAGUUCCUGAGUAAAAUGCAUAAACUUUGUGGGAAAAACAAACAAACAAACAACAAAAAAAACCCCAGAAAACUCAAGACUCUUCCUCUCC
ensembl:lncRNA